rnacentral:rRNA from 1 species
AGUGAACGCUGGCGGUAGGCCUAACACAUGCAAGUCGAACGGCAGCACAGUAAGAGCUUGCUCUUACGGGUGGCGAGUGGCGGACGGGUGAGGAAUACAUCGGAAUCUACUUUUUCGUGGGGGAUAACGUAGGGAAACUUACGCUAAUACCGCAUACGACCUACGGGUGAAAGCAGGGGAUCUUCGGACCUUGCGCGAUUGAAUGAGCCGAUGUCGGAUUAGCUAGUUGGCGGGGUAAAGGCCCACCAAGGCGACGAUCCGUAGCUGGUCUGAGAGGAUGAUCAGCCACACUGGAACAGAGACACGGUCCAGGCUCCUACAGGAUGCAGCAGUGUGGAAUAUUGGACAAUGGGCGCAAGCCUGAUCCAGCCAUACCGCGUGGGUGAAGAAGGCCUUCGGGUUGUAAAGCCCUUUUGUUGGGAGAGAAGAGCAGCAGGUUAAUACCCCGCUGUUCUGACGGUACCCAGAGAAUAAGCACCGGCUAACUUCGUG